rnacentral:rRNA from 1 species
CUACGGGUCGCAGCAGUGGGGAAUAUUGGGCAAUGGGCGCAAGCCUGACCCAGCAACGCCGCGUGAGGGAAGAAGGUUUUCGGAUUGUAAACCUCUGUCCUUGGGGACGAAGAAGUGACGGUACCCAAGGAGGAAGCUCCGGCUAACUACGUGCCAGCAGCCGCGGUAAUACGUAGGGAGCAAGCGUUGUCCGGAAUUACUGGGCGUAAAGGGUGCGUAGGCGGCAUAUUAAGUCAGGUGUGAAAUACUCGGGCUCAACCCGAGGGGUGCAUUUGAAACUGAUAAGCUUGAGUGUGAGAGAGGAAAGUGGAAUUCCUAGUGUAGCGGUGGAAUGCGUAGAUAUUAGGAGGAACACCAGUGGCGAAGGCGACUUUCUGGCUCAUAACUGACGCUGAGGCACGAAAGCGUGGGGAGCAAACAGGAUUAGAUACCCUUGUAGUC